GGGCGCUUAGCUCAGUUGGUUAGAGUGCUUCGUUUACACCGAAGAGGCCGGGAGUUCGAGUCUCUCAGCGCCCAUCA
rnacentral:tRNA from 2 species